rnacentral:lncRNA from 13 species
AUGCCUGUGAAUAGCCACUGCACUCCAGGCUGGAGUGCAGUGGCUAUUCACAGGCACGAUCCCACUACUGAUCAGCACGGGAGUUUUGACCUGCUCCGUUUCCGACCUGGGCUGGUUCACUCCUCCUUAGGCAACCUGGUAGUCCCUCGCUCCCGGGAGGUCACCAUAUUGAUGCCGAACUUAGUGUGGACACCCGAUCGGCAUUGCGCACUACAGCCCAUAACUCCUGAACUCAAGGGAUUCUCCAGCCUCAGCCUCCUGAGUAGCUGGGACUACAGGCACAUGCCACCGCGCCUGGCUCAGCUAAUUUCUCAUUUAGGAAAAAUUGUUUAGAGACAAGUCUUGCUCUGUUGCGUAGGCUGGUCUUGAAUGCCCAGCCUCAAGUGACUCUCCUACUUCAGUUUCCUGAGUAGCUGGGAUUACAAAUGCAAGCCACCGAACCCAGCCUUGUUCAUUUUUUAUAUGUUCCACAGUAUUAGUUCAUUUUUAUGCUACUGAUAAAAAAAUACCCCAGACCAGGAAGAAAAGGAGGUUUACUUUGACUUAUAGUUCUGGGGAGGUCUCAUAAUCACGGUGGAGAGCGAAAGGCACUUUUUACAUGGCAGCAGCAGGAAAGAAUGAGGAAGAAGCAUACGCAGAAACCCAUGAUAAACCCAUGAGAUCUUGUGAGACUUAUUCACUAUCAUGAGAAUAGCAUGGAAAAGAACAGCCCCCAUGAUUCAAUUAUCUCCCCCGGGUCCCUCCCACAACACAUGGAAAUACUGGGAGGUACAGCUGAAGUUGACAUUUGAAUGGGGACACAGCCAAAUCAUAUCACACACAGUUUGGGUGAAGGAUACUUAAUAAGGGAGGGCUCAACAUACAAAAACUGCGACAUCUGGCUGCCAUCAGCUCCUCCACCGGAACCCCAGCGUGGGAAUUAGUGGAGUGCCAGACAGUCCUGAGUUCAAGUCAGUCCUAACCUUAGUUGUUUGUGAGACAUACAUCACUUGAUUUCACAAAAUGCCAAAUUCUUUGCAUUCAGAUGGG